rnacentral:rRNA from 1 species
ACUCAAAUGAAUUGACGGGGGCCCGCACAAGCAGUGGAGCAUGUGGUUUAAUUCGAUGCAACGCGAAGAACCUUACCCAGGCUCGAAAUGUAGAGGACGAUAUCAGAGAUGAUAUUUCCCGCAAGGGUCUUUAUAUAGGUGCUGCAUGGCUGUCGUCAGCUCGUGCCGUGAGGUGUUUGGUUAAGUCCAGCAACGAGCGCAACCCUUAUCAUUAGUUGCCAACACGCGAGGUGGGGACUCUAAUGAGACUGCCUAGGUUAACUAGGAGGAAGGUGAGGAUGACGUCAAGUCCGCAUGGCCUUUAUGUCUGGGGCUACACACGUGCUACAAUGGUCGGUACAGAAGGCUGCAAGACCGCAAGGUGGAGCAAAUCCGUAAAGCCGAUCUCAGUUCAGAUUGUAGUCUGCAACUCGACUACAUGAAGUUGGAAUUGCUAGUAAUGACGGGUCAGCAACACCGUCGUGAAUACGUUCCCGGGCCUUGUACACACCGCCCGU